CCGACAUCAGAACAGGAAAUAAAUAACAGAAAAGCACAAAAAGCUGAAUAUGUCCCCUUUAACGUCAAAUAAGAAGCAACCAGCUAUGUAAACAGGAAGUGACUGUAGCAUCACAAGCUGUAACAUAACUUCCAAAAAUAACAGUUUAAAGUGACCUGUUAAUCCUUUGUGAAUGUAGGCGUGACUUUCUUUUAUUUCUAUCUGCAUAUCAGGAGAAACAUGUGUUUUAGAAUCAGUAUUCAUGCAGUUUACAGUGAGAAGGAAAUAUAUGAUUAUGCUAAGCUAACUGAUGUUAUUGGUUUAGUAAUUUGAGGUUUAGUGUGUUUUUUGUGUGAAAUGUAAAGUGUCAGCUCAGAUAUGUCGACCAGAAUGACAUCUUCUAUGUGACAAUUAGUUUGGUUUAAUUUAAACGGUUAUUUAGACUUUUAAUUUGGAGGAUUUUUGAGGAGCGAGAACAUAAACACAGGAAGUAGCUCCUGAAGCUCCCGUCUGCCCGAAUAUGAAGAAGAGAACGUACUCGGUUGUUAGUCCAGGUCGAGCUGCCGACAGCUGUUGAUUUCACUCAUCAGCAUCCCAGCAUGCAAAGCCUCUCCCGGCUACGGGCGCCAGUUUAGCUCAAACUUGCAGUCUUGUGGUUGGUCAGAUGGAGGUCGGAUCACGUUCCCACCACAAAACAGACAGACGGACCGUUUCCUCUAAAGGGUCUGUGCUGAGUUCAGACGAAUCGAAACCGAGCAGACUAAACAACGAAGCUCUGAAGACAAACAUCCUGUUGAACUUUUCAAACUAAAUAAUAAAACAGCCAAACCCACUGUAAUUACUGUACGCACAAGAAGAAGAAGAAGAAGAAGAAGAAGAAGGGGGGGGGAGGGGGGAAGCAGAAGAAAUGAGGACGCCCCAACAUCCAUCAUAAAAAAUAAUCAGCAGGUUUAAAGUCAAAGAUGCGUCAGGCUCAUGAAGUUAAAGAGGGAAGAUGAAACUUUCCUCCUUCAGCAGACUGAUGAAGAACAACAUCCAGCUGCAGGAAGAAGAAUGACACAACAAAUAUGUGCAGACGGACGGCAGCAGUGUCACCAACUGUACUCCACAAAAAAACACCAAAACUGAGUUUAAAGGUGAAGUAAUUCUUGUUUUUUCUCCCCAAAAUAAAGAGAAUAUAUUAAAACUAAGCAGAGUUUAAGAUGAGUCGUAGUGACGUAUCACUACAGGAACUUCUGUGUUUAAGUGAUAAACUUUGUUCUGUAUGAAAGUUUCAUGUAACAGGUGUGAUGUUUAGGUCUUACUGGGCAAAUAUCACUUCAUCUUCAAUAUUUUAUUAAGAUAUUUGCAUUUUUUUUAACAUUAGCAAGUUGUGGAAAGAACAGAGAAGGAAUCCUGCUAAAAUCAAGUGGAGUUUUUUCCAAAUUUUGUUUUUUUAGCACUAAAUUACUGUUUUGAUUUGCUGCUGCGACUCAUUAUUGUGCUUUUAUGUGUUUUCCCUUUAAAAAAAACACAUGAAGUGCUGUUUCACAUGUGAUAACUCACACGUGUUUUAACAUGUGAAAUGUUCAGGAGCACAUGUGGUUUUCGGACAUUUCACAUGUGGUGCAUUCAGGGGCACAUGUGAAAUGUUUCACUUCACAUGUAAAGCUAAAAACGUCUUUUUUCACAUGUGAAAGACUGAAUUUCACGUGUGCUUUUUUCCGUACGGCUUCUGUGUUUAUAUCGUUAUUUUAACUCUAUCAAGCUGUUACAUGUGUGUUUACAUAGUUU